rnacentral:rRNA from 1 species
GAUUAACGCUAGCGGCAGGCAUAAUACAUGCAAGUUGAACGGGAUUAGGUUUAGCAAUAGACUUAUGAGAGUGGCGCACGGGUGCGUAACACGUAUGCAACCUGCCCCUGACAGGAGGAUAGCCUCUCGAAAGAGAGAUCAAUAUUCCAUAACAUAUAGGUUAAGCAUUUAAUUUAUAUCAAAGCUCCGGCGGUCAGGGAUGGGCAUGCGGCUGAUUAGGUAGUUGGUGAGGUAACGGCUCACCAAGCCGACGAUCAGUAGGGGGUCUGAGAGGAUGUCCCCCCACACUGGUACUGAGACACGGACCAGCCUCCUACGGGAGGCAGCAGUAGGGAAUAUUGGUCAAUGGGGGCAACCCUGAACCAGCCAUGCCGCGUGCAGGAAGACUGCCCUAUGGGUUGUAAACUGCUUUUGUACGGGAAGAAAUCAAUCUACGUGUAGGUUGUUGACGGUACCGUGAGAAUAAGGAUCGGCUAACUUCGUGCCAGCAGCCGCCGCCGUAA